rnacentral:lncRNA from 1 species
AUCAGGGUUGACAGUUUAACCCUGAGUCAUCCUAAACACAGGGAUCAAAAAGAAUGAAUUAUACAGUAACCAUAUUCACGUAGGUUCUGAGUGUUGCGAUUGUGACUAUUCGACCUAUCUGGACGUCGGGUACCAUUGCUAGAUGGUCACUUCGAUUAGUACAGAAAUUGGUUCCUGUGCUAUCGGCUUAGGUUCGAACCUGCGGGGUCACACACAUUAGAGGUUCCUAUCUGAUCUGAUGGCUGAUG